GGGAAAGAUCCUCAUCUGCUGUAACUAUCUCAUAAAUUAAAAGAAGUUGCCAUUAGUGAUGCUCCUUACACUUGGAAUUCUAGUCAAUUGAAGAGAAAAGGGAAACAGGUGUUAAGCGAUUGCAGUGCGCUCAAACGCAAAAUUAUUUGCCUAAUCCACCACAUUAACAUUAUUGGUCAUUCUGAAGUACAAGCUCUUACUAAGAAGCGG
rnacentral:misc_RNA from 1 species